AUGAAUUUGGAUCUAAUUGAG
rnacentral:miRNA from 1 species